rnacentral:rRNA from 1 species
AAUGAACGUUGGCGGCGUGGAUUAGGCAUGCAAGUCGAGCGGGUGUAGCAAUACACCAGCGGCGAAAGGGAGAGGAACACGUGGAUAACCUACCCUCGGGUUCAGGAUAGCCAUGGGAAACUAUGGGUAAUACUGAAUAACAUCUCCGGAUCAAAGGUGAGAUUCCGCCCGGGGAGGGGUCCGCGUCCUAUUAGCUAGUUGGCGAGGUAACGGCUCACCAAGGCUGUGAUGGGUACGGGAUGUGAGAGCAUGAUCCCGCUCAUUGGGACUGAGACACUGCCCAGACACCUACGGGUGGCUG